UAUGUACUCCCUCCGUUCCGAAUUACUUGUCGCAGGUAUGGAUGUAUCUAGAUGUAUUUUAGUUCUAGAUACAUCCAUUUCUGUGACGAGUAAUUUGAAAUGGAGGAAGUAAGUA
rnacentral:pre_miRNA from 1 species